UGAGCGGGGACAACAUUUGGAAACGAAUGCUAAUACCGCAUAACAACUUUAAACACAAGUUUUAAGUUGAAAGAUGCAAUUGCAUCACUCAAAGAUGAUCCCGCGUUGUAUUAGCUAGUUGGUGAGGUAAAGGCUCACCAAGGCGAUGAUACAUAGCCGACCUGAGAGGGUGAUCGGCCACAUUGGGACUGAGACACGGCCCAAACUCCUACGGGAGGCAGCAGUAGGGAAUCUUCGGCAAUGGACGAAAGUCUGACCGAGCAACGCCGCGUGAGUGAAGAAGGUUUUCGGAUCGUAAAACUCUGUUGGUAGAGAAGAACGUUGGUGAGAGUGGAAAGCUCAUCAAGUGACGGUAACUACCCAGAAAGGGACGGCUAACUACGUGCCAGCAGCCGCGGUAAUACGUAGGUCCCGAGCGUUGUCCGGAUUUAUUGGGCGUAAAGCGAGCGCAGGUGGUUUAUUAAGUCUGGUGUAAAAGGCAGUGGCUCAACCAUUGUAUGCAUUGGAAACUGGUAGACUUGAGUGCAGGAGAGGAGAGUGGAAUUCCAUGUGUAGCGGUGAAAUGCGUAGAUAUAUGGAGGAACACCGGUGGCGAAAGCGGCUCUCUGGCCUGUAACUGACACUGAGGCUCGAAAGCGUGGGGAGCAAACAGGAUUAGAUACCCUGGUAGUCCACGCCGUAAACGAUGAGUGCUAGAUGUAGGGAGCUAUAAGUUCUCUGUAUCGCAAGCUAACGCAAUAA
rnacentral:rRNA from 1 species